AAGCUUUCUAAACAGGACUAAGGGCUGGAGCUCUGUCUGUGCUAAGCAGAGCAGAAGGAUUUCUUCUCAUCUGCUAUCCUGGAGAAAUGGAUUGGAGCACUUCACUCUGCAGGAGUGAGCCAGCACCAGAUGAGAAGGUCCGUGUGUUGUCUGGAUGGAAUGCUUUGAUGUUUGCCAGAUGCUUUGAAGUCAUCCUCACUCCUGGUCAGGUUAGGGCCAGACUUCAAAGCAAGAUAGUGCCAAGAUGCUCCUUGAAAAAUAUCUGUGAAGGAGAGAAGUCUGCCUGAUCUUGAAGAAAAGCUAGGUGAGUAUCACAUAGGUUGUGAUUCAUCCUGGAAAAAAGAUGCAGUUGCUCCUCUCACUGCCUCAUGCUCAAGCCUAUAAAAAAGAGGAUUGGUGGACUUUUCUGGAAGAGGAGGGAAAGAAUCCCCCAGGAAUACAAAGAAUGUAAUAUUAACAUAUAGAAUGAGUGGAUUAAAAUGGAAUAUUCUGAAUUGAAG
rnacentral:lncRNA from 1 species